GAUGAACGCUAGCGGCAGGCCUAAUACAUGCAAGUCGAGGGGUAGUGGUUGCUUGCAGCCAUGAGACCGGCGCACGGGUGCGUAACGCGUAUGCAACCUACCUUCAUCUGGGGGAUAGCCCGGAGAAAUCCGGAUUAAUACCGCAUAAAAUCACAGUACGGCAUCGUACAAUGAUCAAACAUUUAUGGGAUGGAGAUGGGCAUACGUGUCAUUAGUUAGUUGGCGGGGUAACGGCCCACCAAGACCGCGAUGACUAGGGGAUCUGAGAGGAUGACCCCCCACACUGGUACUGAGACACGGACCAGGCUCCUACGGGAGGCAGCAGUAAGGAAUAUUGGUCAAUGGGCGCAAGCCUGAACCAGCCAUGCCGCGUGCAGGAAGACGGCCCUCUGGGUUGUAAACUGCUUUUAUUCGGGAAUAAACCUGCUUACGUGUAAGUAGCUGAAUGUACCGAAGGAAUAAGGAUCGGCUAACUCCGUGCCAGCCGCCGCUGUAAAAC
rnacentral:rRNA from 1 species